rnacentral:lncRNA from 1 species
UUUUGGGAAGCAAAGGAAGGAAACCUUUUUGAGAAUUCUCCACACGGAAAAGCAGUCAGGAUUUUAAGGAAGGAGCCAACAACCACACGGGAAGAAAAACCCAAACACACACAGCCAUACGGGGGGGAUUGAGAUCAAAGUGGCAGUCACACAGGCCAAAAGAUCACACAGUCGGCUGCAUCUUGGAGAAGACAACCAUCACGCCGCCACGGGUCAGUGGUGCAUACCAGAAUUUGAGGAAGGAGGAGCAGCCACCUUUUCUCCAUUGAUCAUCAGCCCGCACCACUAGUAAGAGCAGGAUAACACCUUGGUUUGCGUAUUGCAGG